GCUAGCAUAGCACAAUUGGCAGUGCAGCUGAUUUGUAAUCAGCAGGUUGCAGGUUCGAUUCCUGUUGCUAGCUCCA
rnacentral:tRNA from 2 species